UUGAAAAAAAAGAGAGAGAUGAGGAGAGAACUGUUGAGUGGGGGAGCCGAAAGGAAGCAGAAUGGAGCGAGAGCCGAGUGGAAGAGAGAAAGAGAGGAAAAGAAGAGAGUGGUCGAAGAAGAUGAAAGAAGAGAAGGAAAGAGUCAGAACCGGGAGAGAGAGCGAGAAGGAGAGUGCAUAAUCGACACCGAAGGAAGGAAGAAGGAAAUGAAUCAGGUUGAGGAGCACUGUGUGACAAUGGAAACUGAAGCAAGUAAGCCAUGAAAUCCGUCAUCCAAAUCUCAAGCAAGAAAGGAGAGUUGCAAGGUAGCCGUGAAGACCAUCCAGAGUCGAACUUAAGACCGAAUCGCACCACGCCGGCGCAAGUAAGUUUUUUUUUUUAAUGAUUGGUUGGUUGUCAGGGCGACGGGGACGGAUAGUUGGUGUCAGGCUAGCUGCGCGAGCUCGGCUAGUCACCCACCCACUCGGGAACCUAAUUCAUCACUGGGGAAGCUGAAGAGUCUUCCUCGGGUACGAGAAUCUGAUUCACCAGUGGAAGCCAGAGAGUCUUCCUCGGGAAUGGGAACCCGAUUCACCCACUCGGGAAGCCGAAGAGUCUUCAUCGGUGAAUUAGGAUGUUCAAGCAGAUCCGAGAAGGUUGUAGCCCAAAGGAGUUGUAAGUAUUUCCCAUUAUGAGCCUAUAUUAGGAUUUUUGGAAUUUAUGCAUGUAUGUUAUUAAUUUUGUGUGUAUUUUAAACAUAGAACAUGUACUAACCUAAUUUUUGAUGAAGAACAUAACUCGAACCUAUGACGAGUGAACCCUAACCUGUUUGAAAAUUAUGAGGAGAUGGAGACCAAAAAAAUAAGGACUGAGGAAUACCUACACUGAUGAUAAAAUAUAAAAAUUAAAUUAAAGAAAUCACGAAUAAAGUGAAAGAUUGAGAAAAAGAAAAGAAAAUAACGUAAGGAAAUGAGUAAAAAUAGAAGAGAAUAAUUAUGGUUGUUAAACGACAAAUGUAAAUAAAAUUUAAGAGAAAAAUAGAGUAAAUAGGGAAGUAAAUAAGAAUUGAGAAAUGAGAGGUUGUGCGUGAGUAAGGUAUAGACCCUGGAUGCCUUCUUGUUCAGUAUGAAUCGAGGAGGGGAGUGUGUGUGUCUGGCUGAAGUUUAACGGACAUGGCGAACCUAGACAUGGAUAGAGUUUAAAACCUAUUGUCGAUUUGUGAAAGAAUUUUUUAAGAUUGCAACCCCUCUUACCCGGCUUAGUAAGAAAGAUACUAAGUUUGAAUGGAUCCAGACAGUGAGAAUAGUUUCAGAGAAUUUAAAAAUCGACUUGUGACAGCUCCAAUAUUAGCUCUACCAAGUGGAUUAGGAGGUUAUGCAGUGUACACUGAUACAUUAAGUCAGCAUUUAGGAUGUGUUUUAAUGCAACAUCGUAGAGUCAUCGCAUACGAGUCAAGACAAUUGAAGAUCCAUGAAUGAAAUUACCCAACUCAUGACUUGGAAUUAGCUAUAAUUAUAUAUGUUGGGAUGAUCAUCUAACACUGAUAGAUGCUUAUAACAAUAACUACUAGGUAAGUAUUGGUAUGACCCCCUAUGAAGCAUUGUAUGGCCGACCUCGUAGGUCUCCAAUCUACUGGGAAGAAGUUAGAAAAAAGAAGUUAAUUGGCCUAAAGUUAGUAGAUGAAACUACUAUAAAGAUUAUUAAGAUCAGAAAGAACAUUCAGUAGCCUAGAGUAGACAGAAACGCUAUGCGAAUAACCGAA